rnacentral:rRNA from 1 species
AUUAUUUUAAGAUUAUUUUUUAUUGUUGAAAAAAUUAAAAAUAAAUUGUUUUUAACAAAAAUUAAAAUUUAUAAUAUUUCAUUUUUUGGUUUUUUGUUUUAAAUUAAAAUAAUAAAUAUGGGGGAAAAAAAAAUUUUGUUAUAAAUUAUAUUAGUUUAUUUUAAUUAAAAAUAUUUUUUAUUAAAUUUGUUUUUUUUAUUUUUUUAUAAAAAAUAUUAAUUUAAUUAUUAUUAUUGAGUUUAAUUUAGUUAUUUUUAAAAAAAUUUUGUAUAAAAUAAAUUUGAUAAUAAAUGUUUUUUAAAUUCUUUGGGGGUUUAGUUUAUGAUUUUUUGUUUCUGCUCAUUGUUAAAUAAA